GGCUGUGCAAGUCACAUGCAGGGAGGUGUGACUAGGGUUCAUAAACAAAGGGAUUUAACUCCUAAAUGGCAGAGGAUUGAGCAGUGAGGCUGCAGGGGCAUGUUCUAUACACCAAAACUGCUUCAUUAAGCUAAAGUUGUUCAGGUGACUAUAGUGUCCCUUUAAUUCAUUUGUUCAAGUUUGAAGUAAUCCAUGGAAGACCCAC